rnacentral:rRNA from 1 species
AGGUCUCCUGAAGGAACGUUGAAGACGACGACGUUGAUAGGCCGGGUGUGUAAGUGCAGCGAUGCGUUGAGCUAACCGGUACUAAUGAACCGUGAGGCUUAACCUUACAACGCCGAAG